rnacentral:rRNA from 1 species
AUUGAACGCUGGCGGCAGGCCUAACACAUGCAAGUCGAACGAGUGGCGGACGGGUGAGUAAUGUCUGGGAAACUGCCUGAUGGAGGGGGAUAACUACUGGAAAAGGUAGCUAAUACCGCAUACCAUCGGAUGUGCCCUGGUGGGAUUAGCUAGUCGGUGGGGUAAAGGCUCACCUAGGCGACGAUCCCUAGCUGGUCUGAGAGGAUGACCGGCCACACUGGAACUGAGACACGGUCCAGACUCCUACGGGAGGCAGCAGUGGGGAAUAUUUCACAAUGGGCGAAAGCCUGAUGCAGCCAUGCCGCGUGGAUGAAGAAGGCCUUCGGGUUGUAAAGUACUGUCAGCGGGGAGGCGUUACCCGCAGAGGAAGCAACGGCUAACUCCGUGCCAGCCGCCGCGGUAAUUC